rnacentral:rRNA from 1 species
UACGGAGGGGGCAAGCGUUGUUCGGAUUUACCGGGCGUAAAGGGUGUGUAGGCGGCCGCGUAAGUCUGGUGUGAAAUCCUCACCGCUCAACGGGAAGAGUGCACUGGAAACUGCGCGGCUCGAGUGUGGUAGAGGCAAGCGGAAUUCCUGGUGUAGCGGUGGAAUGUGUAGAUAUCAGGAAGAACACCGGUGGCGAAGGCGGCUUGCUGGGCCAUCACUGACGCUGAGACACGAAAGCGUGGGGAGCAAACGGG